AGCAGUACUAAAAACGUAGACUACACUAUCAUGUCACACUCAAACAUCAAAUGUGUUGCGUGUCUGUAGGGACUUUUCAACAACAACCAGAAGCAGCCAAAACAGAGGAACCCUAGCCUGUUACUAUGUCAUGCCAUCAAAGUUGAGGCAAUCCAACUCGACGGCAGUCUGUAGAAACCACGCAAAGUGAUUGCAGCAAGAGAAUACGAAUGAGAAGUGCUGGUCUGUAGAAAGUUGUUGACAGCCACACAGCACAUGAACACUGCCCUAUGCUAUUGACCAACCAGCAGCCGCUGCUAGUAUCAAGGCCGUGCCAUCGAGGGCAAAAAGCUUUCGCUGCCGCGCGACUAUAUACUACGAAACAAGCAGAGCUUGGUGUACAUAGUAAAAUCAUUCAUUUGGAUUUUUCGUUUUUUGAAUGACCCGUCUAAUACAAGAACACAGCUGAUGGAGGAAAAACGUGAUCUCAGGAUUUCCUCACAGUCACACCCACCAUAUUCAUCACCGAGUAAAAUAAAAAUUACGAUGAAGGAAAACGUCACUAAAAGUAGAAAUACUAUACCUCUAUGCUACUGCGGUUCGCUCUGUUUGGUUGUUCGUCAUCCGAAUCUGGAAAUGAAAAUAUUUUAAAACACUUUUUUGUUGCUAACCACUCAUUACUCAAACGCAAGAAUUGGAACACUGGAAAGAAAACUGUACAAGAGUGUACAUACCUUGCGGGGAAUCUAUUGGCGAAUAAAAGUCAUCGAGAUUAUGGCUGCGGACGGAAGGGGCCUGAUUUUGCAGCAAAGGUGCGCGUUCAUCAUCAGAUGAGAUAGCUAUAAUAGAGUAACAAAUUUGUAAAGCUUAAAAUGUCAAUUAGUAAACACUAUAAUAGUAUACCUCUGAAAAAAUCACGGGCAAGGGAUUCUUGGGGCAGGACUCGAAAAUCAAGAAACCAAGCUUCACCCCAUGACAAAACAAAAGAACUCAGAACAAGAAAAACAUCUAGCGUAUAGUUGGUGGCUUUAGCCCACUACGAAAAAAAAAGGUGUAAAAUUAAAUGAUUGCACACACGCGACGAAAAAUAUUUAGUUAGAUGAUUUACUAUACCUCGAAAAAGAAGACUUUUAUGAUAAGAAAUCCACAACUUCCCGCCGUUGUUAUCUAUAACAGUAAAACAAUAAAAUUGUGUUAAUGCAAAAAAUUACACGCACUUCACGGAUUUUAGGUCAAACUUA